UCAAACUUGGUCAUUUAGAGGAAGUAAAAGUCGUAACAAGGUUUCCGUAGGUAAGUAGUAGUUGCCACUUUAUCUUUUUAUGUUUGAAUAAUGUGCUAAUUUUUUCUUUUUAGGUGAACCUGCGGAAGGAUCAUUACAGAGUGUUUUUUACCCCCUUGUAAAAUGGUGGGUUUAAACCUCCCGUCCUUUGCUGGACCCCCCCCCCAAAUUUUGGGGAAGGGGGGCCUUUCAAACCUUUUUGCUUCGGCGGGGUUUACCCUGCCGGAACAUCCUCAAAAAAAUUCUUGGUCAAAAACCGUUCAGUCCGAGAAAUUUUGAAAAAUUAGUGAAAAACUUUCAACAACGGAUCUCUUGGUUCUGGCAUCGAUGAAGAACGCAGC
rnacentral:misc_RNA from 1 species